AAGUCGUAACAAGGUUUCCGUAGGUGAACCUGCGGAAGGAUCAUUAAUGAAAUGUUAGGACGCUCUUUUUAGAGGUCCGACCCAAUUCAUUUUACCUUUCACUCUGUGCACAUCACUACUUUUUUACACCCAUUUUUAACACGUAAAAGUCAUAAGAAUGUAAAACAAGUCUCUUAACUGAGCAUAAACACAAACAAAACUUUCAGCAACGGAUCUCUUGGCUCUCCCA
rnacentral:misc_RNA from 1 species